rnacentral:rRNA from 1 species
CAGUCGCCACGGGAAUACAGAGGGUGCGAGCGUUAAUCGGAUUUACUGGGCGUAAAGCGUGCGUAGGCGGCUUUUUAAGUCGGAUGUGAAAUCCCUGAGCUUAACUUAGGAAUUGCAUUCGAUACUGGGAAGCUAGAGUAUGGGAGAGGAUGGUAGAAUUCCAGGUGUAGCGGUGAAAUGCGUAGAGAUCUGGAGGAAUACCGAUGGCGAAGGCAGCCAUCUGGCCUAAUACUGACGCUGAGGUACGAAAGCAUGGGGAGCAAACAGGAUUAGAGACCCCAGUAGUCCCUGUCUCUUAUAC